rnacentral:sRNA from 1 species
GCCAGGUGCAGUGGCGCAUGCCUGUUAUCCCAGCAGCUGGGGAGGCGGAGACAGGAGGAUCACAAGUUCAAAGUCAGCCUCAGCAACAGCAAAGCACCAAGUGACUCAGUGAGACCCUGUCUCUA